AACCGCCCAGUACGAGAACCGUACGCUGGGUGGUGUGAGAGGCGCACUGGCGGUCAUUUGACCGUCAGCCGUCUACUCGAU
rnacentral:misc_RNA from 1 species